AAACUAUGAUGUGGACAGCUUCUCAGUAAAUUCUUGAAACAUUCCCAACAAUCGUACAAAAUCUCAUUCUCUUGUACAAGAAACCCUGCUAUGUCAUUCCUCAACUU
rnacentral:snoRNA from 1 species